CAUGCAGUCGACGGGGAGGGGGCAACCCCUUGAGAGUGGCGAACGGGUGAGUAAUAUAUCGGAACGUGCCCAGUCGUGGGGGAUAACGUAGCGAAAGUUACGCUAAUACCGCAUACGAUCUACGGAUGAAAGCGGGGGAUCGCAAGACCUCGCGCGACUGGAGCGGCCGAUAUCAGAUUAGGUAGUUGGUGGGGUAAAGGCUCACCAAGCCAACGAUCUGUAGCUGGUCUGAGAGGACGACCAGCCACACUGGAACUGAGACACGGUCCAGACUCCUACGGGAGGCAGCAGUGGGGAAUUUUGGACAAUGGACGCAAGUCUGAUCCAGCCAUUCCGCGUGCAGGAUGAAGGCCCUCGGGUUGUAAACUGCUUUUGUACGGAACGAAAAGGUCUCUCCUAAUACGAGAGGCUCAUGACGGUACCGUAAGAAUAAGCACCGGCUAACUACGUGCCAGCAGCCGCGGUAAUACGUAGGGUGCAAGCGUUAAUCGGAAUUACUGGGCGUAAAGCGUGCGCAGGCGGUUAUAUAAGACAGAUGUGAAAUCCCCGGGCUCAACCUGGGAACUGCAUUUGUGACUGUAUAGCUAGAGUACGGUAGAGGGGGAUGGAAUUCCGCGUGUAGCAGUGAAAUGCGUAGAUAUGCGGAGGAACACCGAUGGCGAAGGCAAUCCCCUGGACCUGUACUGACGCUCAUGCACGAAAGCGUGGGGAGCAAACAGGAUUAGAUACCCUGGUAGUCCACGCCCUAAACGAUGUCAACUGGUUGUUGGGUCUUAACUGACUCAGUAACGAAGCUAACGCGUGAAGUUGACCGCCUGGGGAGUACGGCCGC
rnacentral:rRNA from 1 species